ACGGGAGGCAGCAGUGAGGAAUAUUGGUCAAUGGGCGAGAGCCUGAACUAGCCAAGUCGCGUGAAGGAUGAAGGUUCUAUGGAUUGUAAACUUCUUUUAUUCGAGGGUAAAGUGACGGACGUGUCCGUUAUUGCAAGUAUCGAAUGAAUAAGCAUCGGCUAACUCCGUGCCAGCAGCCGCGGUAAUACGGAGGAUGCGAGCGUUAUCCGGAUUUAUUGGGUUUAAAGGGUGCGUAGGCGGGCGAUUAAGUCAGCGGUGAAAGCGUGUGGCUCAACCAUACCAAGCCGUUGAUACUGGUUGUCUUGAGUGUAAACGAGGUAGGCGGAAUGUGACGUGUAGCGGUGAAAUGCUUAGAUAUGUCACAGAACCCCGAUUGCGAAGGCAGCUUACCAGCAUACAACUGACGCUGAGGCACGAAAGUGUGGGGAUCAAACAGGAUUAGAUACCCUGGUA
rnacentral:rRNA from 1 species